AAAUUCUCACCUAAAGUUGAUACUAAUAUUACAAUAACUCUCUUGUGCCCUAUUUUGGUGUUUUAAACUUCUUUGCUGUACAUUUAAGAAAAUCAGAAUUUCAGUAGACUCCUCGUGCAGUCUGAGGAGGCAGUUUCCUAUCUGGUUUGACUUAAGGGGCUGCAGAAGACAUUCUUAUCCCACAUAUUUCUUCUGCUGAUCAGUCAGCAACUGAAAUUCCAACUAAUGGAUUCCAUUCUUCCAGUUAAGACAUCAUCUCCAGAAAACUGUGCUAGUUGGCAUCCAGCAGUGCCCAAGUAUUAUUUAACCCACUAGAACCUGUGACUGCAUCAGCUUUAUAUCCUGGACCUCAGCCUGGAACAAAGGAGAGCUACACUUGGAUACUAAACACAAGUGGUCUGGAUAGAUUAUGCUGGGAAAAGAAGCCUGGAGCAGGCAGUACAGUGGGAGAACAAGACAGAAGUGCUUGCCUUGGUGAUCCAAAAAAGGCAGGAUCCGGCCGGGGGCAAGGUGAUUAUUCUGUCUGAUGAGGAGAAUAAGAGCCAGUUUGUGGUAUUGACAGAAGAAUGAAAGUAAAGUUCAACCAAUCUACAAAGGCCAAAAAUAUUUUCACAGGCCCCCAAAAGAUGAACUCCAAUCUGCUGCCCCUAAACGCAUUCUCCACUGUCUGGAAGAUGUGCAAAGGCAACGGCACAGCGUUCUCCAUCUCAAAUCCUUCAAAGUGCUGUCAGAAUAAAAGAAUCCCCACCAAAAGCCCCAGGGAAAUCUAUCUGUCUGUAUGGUAUGGUAAUGACUGAGGUUAUUCCAGAUAGGAUUCUGGGAGAAACUCAGCUAUUGAAAUCUAAUGAAUGGAACUGAGAAUUUCUUGUUAUAAUACUGUUUGUUUGAUUGAAUAUAUCCUUGCAUAUAGGAAGACAUAAAAAUAAAUAAUAAAAGCAAGAUAUUAUUUGAAUUUUUGUUUGAUUAUAUAAUCUGAGAAUUUUUCUGGUAAGUAAUUUUGCAUCUGGAUUUAUUUUUUCUGCCAGUCACUUGCCUUUCUAGUUUUAUGUCAUUUUUAUCUCUUUCCUAUUUUAAUGUC
rnacentral:lncRNA from 1 species